CCAUCUCAUGUAGUUUGGUAAAGCAACACGUCACUGUGGGAAAAUCUCUACUGAAGAUCCCAACCUGUAAAUGCCAUCAAUCCGAAGAAGUCCUUGUGCUGAGGAACCGGACUUCCUCUCUGGACAUACAUACAACACAGUGGAAAAUAACAAAUGAUGACAAAGUUUGAAAAGUUUAUGACAGACCACAGCUCAUGAUGGGGACAAUCCUGAGGAUAUACGAAAAGCAUUUCCCAUGCAGGAAGAAGAAAAUAUUCUAAAGAAGAGAUAAGAGUGUGCCAUGAAAUCAAAAAGCCAACAGAUCUCAGGGAGUUCCUUUUCUACCCAAACUAUCAGAUGUAAUUUAGCAGUAAAGAAAGAGUUGGCUCACGUGUAACAAGUACUCAUGUGCGAUUAUGGAGUUUUCUUCUCUAUUUCAAAAAGAAAGGUGGAGAAAUGGAGAACAGGAUAAAGGCCUGGAAUCCCUGCUCCAGAAAGUUAGCUGAUAGCUGUGAUUGGCCAUUGAGAAGAGGGAGGAGUAAUGACUUCAAUGACCCCAGAAGAUUCCAGAGCAGAGAACAGCAGCAGUCUGGCUUUGUUCUUUGGUACCAAGUGCCCCCGUCAACCACUGCAGUAAGUACUCGUCUGCCUUUGGGCCCUAUUAGCCCACACAGUAAACCCCGCUGGAAAGUAGGGCUGAGCUGUGAGUGCUAUUGGUACUGUCUCCAUUCUAUGCUGGUUCUUUUAGACUUUGUGUUUCUAUGGGGUCUACUCGUUGGUUUCCACUUUGAUUUCUCCAAUAUUGAAGAUAUAUUAUAUUGGCUUCUCUCCAGCUCUCAGAAUGCUCUCUUCUUUAGUUCUAUUCCUAUGAUCACUUGCUGUCCACUUGGCCAGCUACCCAUAUUGUCAUGA
rnacentral:lncRNA from 1 species